GGUCGGAUGGUGUAGUUGGUUAUCACGCUAGUCUAACACGCUAGAUGUCUCUGGUUCAAGCCCGGGUCUGAUCG
rnacentral:tRNA from 1 species